UACGGGGGGGGCAAGCGUUGUUCGGAAUUAUUGGGCGUAAAGAGCUCGUAGGCGGUGUGUCGCGUCGGCCGUGAAAACCUGGGGCUCAACUCUGGGCGUGCGGUCGAUACGGGCAUCACUGGAGUUCGGCAGGGGAGACUGGAAUUCCUGGUGUAGCGGUGAAAUGCGCAGAUAUCAGGAGGAACACCGGUGGCGAAGGCGGGUCUCUGGGCAGUAACUGACGCUGAGGAGCGAAAGCGUGGGGAGCGAACAGG
rnacentral:rRNA from 1 species